GUGGGGCGAGAGGAGAUUGCUCGGGCUAACCCCGUGAUCAAAGCAGAGAAGCUGCGGAGGAUAUGAUUCGAUCUCAUCCGUCCGAUGGGACCGGAGUUUGAUGAUUUGAUAACAAGCGUCCACGUGUACUGCGAGGGAGGGAGAGAGAGAUGUCGUUAUGUAUGAUGUUAUGAAUAUGAUGAUGAUGAUGAUGAUGAUCUGUCUUCAAUGUUAAGAUAAAACUUAAAUAGUCGGUUUGUCUCGUAUAGAAGGGAUUGAAAUGAAUAAGUCAUAUUUUUAUUUGGCUUUGUAAAAUGGGAGAAAAAAGAA
rnacentral:lncRNA from 1 species